UACGAAGGGGGCUAGCGUUGCUCGGAAUCACUGGGCGUAAAGGGCGCGUAGGCGGCCCUGUUAGUCAGGCGUGAAAUUCCUGGGCUCAACCUGGGGACUGCGCUUGAUACGGCGGGGCUUGAGGAUGGAAGAGGGUCGUGGAAUUCCCAGUGUAGAGGUGAAAUUCGUAGAUAUUGGGAAGAACACCGGUGGCGAAGGCGGCGACCUGGUCCAUUACUGACGCUGAGGCGCGACAGCGUGGGGAGCAAACAGGAUUAGAAACCCGGGUUAGUCC
rnacentral:rRNA from 1 species